rnacentral:rRNA from 1 species
GACGAACGCUGGCGGCGUGCUUAACACAUGCAAGUCGAACGGUGAACCGCUUUCGGGUGGGGAUCAGUGGCGAACGGGUGAGUAACACGUGAGUAACCUGCCCUUCACUCUGGGAUAACUCCGGGAAACCGGGGCUAAUACUGGAUACGACCUACUCGGGCAUCCGAUGUGGGUGGAAAGAUUUAUCGGUGAGGGAUGGACUCGCGGCCUAUCAGCUUGUUGGUGAGGUAAUGGCUCACCAAGGCGACGACGGGUAGCCGGCCUGAGAGGGCGAUCGGCCACACUGGGACUGAGACACGGCCCAGACUCCUACGGGAGGCAGCAGUGGGGAAUAUUGCACAAUGGGCGAAAGCCUGAUGCAGCGACGCCGCGUGAGGGAUGAAGGCCUUCGGGUUGUAAACCUCUUUCAGCAGGGAAGAAGCGAAAGUGACGGUACCUGCAGAAGAAGCACCGGCUAACUACGUGCCAGCAGCCGCGGUAAUACGUAGGGUGCAAGCGUUGUCCGGAAUUA